GAAGCUUGCUUCCUGGUGGCGAGCGGCGGACGGGUGAGUAAUGCAUAGGAAUCUGCCCGGUAGUGGGGGAUAACCUGGGGAAACCCAGGCUAAUACCGCAUACGUCCUACGGGAGAAAGCAGGGGCUCUUCGGACCUUGCGCUAUCGGAUGAGCCUAUGUCGGAUUAGCUGGUUGGUGAGGUAAUGGCUCACCAAGGCGACGAUCCGUAGCUGGUCUGAGAGGAUGAUCAGCCACAUCGGGACUGAGACACGGCCCGAACUCCUACGGGAGGCAGCAGUGGGGAAUAUUGGACAAUGGGCGCAAGCCUGAUCCAGCCAUGCCGCGUGUGUGAAGAAGGCCCUCGGGUUGUAAAGCACUUUCAGUGGGGAAGAAAGCCUUCCGGUUAAUACCCGGGAGGAAGGACAUCACCCACAGAAGAAGCACCGGCUAACUCCGUGCCAGCAGCCGCGGUAAUACGGAGGGUGCGAGCGUUAAUCGGAAUUACUGGGCGUAAAGCGCGCGUAGGUGGCUUGAUAAGCCGGUUGUGAAAGCCCCGGGCUCAACCUGGGAACGGCAUCCGGAACUGUCAGGCUAGAGUGCAGGAGAGGAAGGUAGAAUUCCCGGUGUAGCGGUGAAAUGCGUAGAGAUCGGGAGGAAUACCAGUGGCGAAGGCGGCCUUCUGGACUGACACUGACACUGAGGUGCGAAAGCGUGGGUAGCAAACAGGAUUAGAUACCCUGGUAGUCCACGCCGUAAACGAUGUCGACUAGCCGUUGGGUCCUUCGCGGACUUUGUGGCGCAGUUAACGCGAUAAGUCGACCGCCUGGGGAGUACGGCCGCAAGGUUAAAACUCAAAUGAAUUGACGGGGGCCCGCACAAGCGGUGGAGCAUGUGGUUUAGUUCGAUGCAACGCGAAGAACCUUACCUACCC
rnacentral:rRNA from 1 species